AUUGAACGCUGGCGGCAUGCUUUACACAUGCAAGUCGAACGGCAGCGCGGGCUUCGGCCUGGCGGCGAGUGGCGAACGGGUGAGUAAUACAUCGGAACGUGCCCAGUAGUGGGGGAUAGCUCGGCGAAAGCCGGAUAAAACCCCACACGACCCGAGGGUGAAAGCGGGGGGUCCUCCGACCCCGCGCCUUUUGUGCGGCCGAUGGCCGAUUAGCUAGUUGGUGGGGUAAAGGCCUACCAAGGCGACGAUCUGUAGCUGGUCUGAGAGGACGACCGGCCACACUGGGACUGAGACACGGCCCAGACUCCUACGGGAGGCAGCAGUGGGGAAUUUUGGACAAUGGGCGAAAGCCUGAUCCAGCAAUGCCGCGUGUGUGAUGAAGGCCUUCGGGUUGUAAAGCACUUUUGGCGGGAACGAAAAGGACUGUGCCAAUACCACGGUUCGAUGACGGUACCCGCAGAAUAAGCACCGGCUAACUACGUG
rnacentral:rRNA from 1 species